CUCGGGAUCCAGGCGUUUCGUACUUCAGGAGGAAUUUGAGUUACUCCGGAGUGACGUUUGGCUGAGAUGUGAGAUUUUUGUAAAAGGUCACGUUGCAGAAAUAGACUUCAAAACUGACUUAUUUCAGCUAAAGGCUUUGCAUAUCUGGUACUUGCUCAAUCCUCUCUGUGGAAAGCGUGAUUCCGUCAGUGGUUCGGCGCUGUCAUGAAGUGGAAGGAUUUAGCAGUCUGCAUCUGAUGUGUUUGUGAAGGCUUUCAGCAAGAUUUACAGCACUGGCAUGAAUGGACUGAAUACUGUCAGUGGAAAAUGGAACCAGAAUCAUGAAGAAGGACAAGUAAAGAAGCAGCUAGAGUGAACAGCAUGUGGACCUAAUGAUGAGAACUAAAAGUGUGACAUUCCCAUUAGCCUCUUCCUUCCAGCAAAACUGAAUUGUAAUAAAGAAUCCAGCCUGCACCUUAUAGCCUGUCUCUAGUUACAAGGCAGGAAAACGGGGCAAUUUGAGGUGUAGGGUUACUAUCAGAAGUUUCAUCAGUUUGGUGAUACCACAUAUAUUUUCAGUUUAAAGAAAUUUAAAUUUUGAAUAAAGUGGUUUAGGAUUCAAAACCAAAUAACAUGAUCUCUGCUGGUGAAAAUUAAAUAAUGCUGUUUAUCCUCAGAAGCCUUGUUUGUUUGGUUUUCCUCCCCCCUGCUAUCAAGGAAUACACACCCAUAAUGUACAAAGAAUAUACAGAUAUAUAUUAAGUGCAGUAUUGCACAAGACCCAAAACUGCUGUAUUGUACAGAACAUACAUGUCCUGAAAAUAUUUUCAGAAAUGUUUAAUAGCAAAUGUUUCAUUAAACUGUUAUAUCAUGUUGUAUAUGGAAAGAAAAAGACUAGCAAAGAGGUAGUUAAUCUGUUAUCUUCUGAAUUUAAGCAAACACUUAAUAUACCAAUAAUAUUUAUUGUUUUUAUAAAUGUUAGGCAUGUCUCUAAGUGGUAUUUAAAUCUGAUUCUCCUAAGCUGAAACAGUUUUACUGACUCAAUGAUACAAGCAUUUCCUGAAAAAGGAGGACAUAUUUCCUGUAUAUUGUUAAUAUUUGACAGCACUGAUCCUAAACGAGUAGAAACAUGACAGUGAUUUGCAAGACAGCCUUUAAAGUACAGUUGAAAUUCUGUAUUAUUGUAUCCCACGUAAACUCAUUUACCGAGCAACAAUUACAUAAUAAAUUACAUUUAAACCCAAAAA